rnacentral:tRNA from 1 species
AUUCAAAUAGCUUAAAAGUAAGAGUAUAAUAUUGAAGAUAUUAGGGUGAUUAAUUAAUCUUUGAAUA